CAUGAUACUAGCUAGCUAGAAAAAAUGGCAUAUAGCAUCUGUACCGUCCGUUUAACAAAUCAGUGGUUGUGAUUUAGAAUGGAAAAUUGUCGUCCGCUAGUCUUACUAGCGGACGUGUUUAAUCAAAAUUUCGGACGUUUGUCCCCAAUUGGCCAAUUCAGAGACUGUAACUUAACAAUCCGCUAGGCAUACUAGCGGAUGGAUAUAAUACAAACAGUACAAUAUGUUAACUAAUUGGAUGGAUAUAAUACAAACGAUACAAUAUGUUAACCAAUUGGCCAAUUGCCUUCAUGCACACAAUACAAACGAUAUCCUUCCUUAACUGAAAAUCCCUGCAAGUAUUUCACGGAUGUUACUACAUCCUGCACCCAAUACAAACGAUAUCCUUCCUUAACUGAAAAUCCCAGUACAUACCUACAUCAAUUAAAAUACAACACUGCAAUACCGAUCUAAAAUAAACGUCCGGAAUACACAGCUUGUAAGUGUUCAACUAAAUUACUGCAAUAGUUGCUCAAUUCAGUUACAACAAAAAAAACGUGGUACAACCCAAUUGAUGUGAAAUACAAUACCCAAUACAUUCAAUUACAACACUGCAAUACCCAUCUUUCAGCAACAUAAUUCAAAUAAAUUCCUUCAAUACACAGCAACAUCAGUUCAAUUAAAUUCCUGCAAUACCCAGUACAUCAACAGUUAGUAGAGUUAUCACAUCCCCAAUACAUCAUAAUUUCCAAAUCUUUCCAAAUCAUAUUUGAAAUCCAAAUCAAAUCAAGAUUUGUCAAAUUCUAAAUUUUAGCAAAUCAAAUAUAUCAACUUCCAAAUUCUAGCAAAUCAAAAAUAUAAAAUUCCAAAUUCUAAGACAUUUUUACUAUUCAAUCAGUUGCAAAAGCCUCCCAGUGUAAAAACACCAUAACUGAGACUGAACUCUACACUCUUUAGGAAUCACAAUCGUGUAAACAGAAAUAAAUCGUUUUAACAUAUGCUAAAUGUUUUGUCUGCAAUGGAAUUGUACCAUGAAAAUAAUUUUUUUACUGUGCAGGCAUACACAAUGCAAUUGGAAGUAGAGCAGAUUCAACUGAAAGUAGACCAUCUGCAAAUCCAAUAAUGGGUGUUCUAAGUAGAAAAUCAGAUAAUCUUACCCAUGUUCACUUGCAUUCACAAAUCACGAUACAGAACAACUAAAAUUAGCAGGAUUACCAAAAACACCCAACUAAGUCAUAGCUACUGAGAUUUCAACCAAACAGAAAAUCAAAUCAAACAAACCAAACUAAGAAAAAUUUAAACCAUCAAAAGUAUACAGAGCACAUUCAAAAAAGCUAAGCUUUAUAUCAGCUAUAAGAAAUAUUGCAUGUCAGUAUCACUGUUAACGAAAACUAACCAGAUCAAUUUUCUGUCUUCAUUUCAAUUAUCAAUUCAACAAUGCAAGUAAAGAUUCUCCAGUACAAAGAAGGAUUUACAUGAACAAAUAACACCACACAAUUAAUAAAAUUUCAGGAAUUCAGAUUGCUUACAAAUUAGCUCUCCGAGAUCUAUGCAUAUAUUCAGUCAUUGUCAAUUCCAUUUUCCAAAAAAUUAAAACAAAAAAUAUGUCUUUACAGGAAAAGAGAGGUAACCUACUAGAUUAUGCAAAAAUAAGUCCAAGUUAACCAAAACCCUAAGAACUUGGAAGGCUAAAACAAUUUACUAGAUUAUUAGUGCUUUGUUGAAGUUUCAAUGCCAAUUACAGCUACAAUUUAGUUUUUAGAAGCUCCUGACCUCCUAUAUGCCGAACCAAAAAUAGCAUCAGAGAUUCAUAGUAUAGUUUCGGCCAAGAAUUAAUGGAGAAUCACAUCACCUUCAGAUUUUGGAGGUUAAAUAACAAACUUACCGAUUAAAUAUGCCAAACUUGUUGCCGAUUUGCUGUAUUUUGCUUCUAGGGUUCUAGCCAAUUACCCAAUUCGCCGAUUAGCUGUAUUUUGCUUCUAGGGUUCUAACCAAUUUACCCAAUUCGCACUGUAGCGUAUUACCUUUGUUACCUUACCCAAUUCGCACUGUAGCAUUCGCCGAUUUGCUGAAUUUUCUUUUUUGACUAGCGGAUGCUGGUAUCAAUCGAAUAAAUGGGGGGGGCAUAAGGGUCUUAAUUUUAGUAUAACCACGACCGCUAGUAAUACUAGCGGACGGCGUGUUCCCAUAACAGAUCUCACCCAUUCAUUAAUUACACGGACGGUAUAGAUGAUAAAUUAAACACACCUAGCUAGCUUUUGUGGGUUGAUAUGAUAUAGUGCUCUUUACCUAACAGAUAUAGUACUAACAUCAUACCACUACUUGAAAGUGAAAUCGAUUGCUAUCAGUUGAGCCGUUUUCUGUCUAAGAGUACGUAACAUAUAUCAUCCAUAACUCAACUCAAAGAUAGUAUUUUCUUGGGUCAUUUAAUUAGUCUACCACAAGUUCACCCAAAAGGUCAUGACUUAUAGGUACUAUUGUUAGUAACUUAAUUCCUUAUAUACAGGAAGAAAAUUCCAAAAAUUCUUAUAUCUUUUAAUGUGAGACUGAGAUGUUACAUAACGUUAUGUAAAACGUCCUACUACCUAAUAUUAAAACAUCCAACUGAAAAACAAUCGACACAAAAUAGAGUAUCAUAUCAAAAUUAUAUAGAGUGAUCUCCAUAUGAUCAACAACCUUGUGUGGUUUAUUUGUCUUCCUUUCACUUAAUUUCAUGAAUGGUACGUGAGUUUAGCCAUUUGAGUUGAGGGCAUGGGUGCUUCUGCUUCAUCUUUCUUUAUUUCUAAUUCCAUGCUAAGGCUGGUGAUUAUAGGGUUUAAUAACAAGCACGCACAGGUCUUUAAUUCUUUUAUACGACUUAUUCAUCACUAGCUAUUUUCUGCAUUCCUGUCGGUCAAGUGCUCCAAACAUUAGGGACACUGUUCAUAUGUUAUGUGGUCAGUGGCGAAACUAGGAAGUUAUAAUAGUGGGGUCAAAAUUAUUAGUAAGUUAUAAAAAAUUUGGCGGGAGUUCCAAUUUUUUUUAAUACUUUAUAUUUUCGGGUUAGACAAAUGAAUCCAAAUAUCCAAUUUAAUAAUACUAACAAAAGGGAGAAAUCACAAUUGAUUUCUGAAAACAAAACUGAGGUUGGAGAAAUUGAAGAGAGUAAUUUAUGUUACAUGCAAGGGCGCAAGGUUGCAAGAGAGUCGCAGUAGAAUAGAGUCGCACUCCAGUCUCCACACUCGCGGCUCGCCAGUCACCAAUACCCACUCCGACCACUCGCGAAAGGCUUUGAUGGUUCAUGAUUUGGCUUUGCCUCAUCUCUCUCUAUUUUGUGGCUGAAGUGCUGAACAUAUAUUGAUGUAUGAGAUUUAGGACUGAGGCUUGGCCGCUUGGGUAUCUCUAAUUAAAAAAAAAUCUUAGUGGAGUCAAAAAUUGAGUGAAAAUCAAAAAUUGAGUGGGAUACAAAAAAAUUUGUAACUGAUUUCAAAAAUUGAGUGGGGUCAAUUGACCCCACAAAUUUACCAUAGCUUCGCCCCUGUAUGUGGUCUGUGGUCUUUUAUAUAUAUAUAUAAUGCUUGCUUCUCUAUCUAUCUAUCUAUCUAUCUAUCUAUCUAUCAAAUAUUCUUUUAUUUUGAAAGUCCUUAAUAAGUUAACGUUAGGCCUGCGUACUAAUAUUAUAAUAGUGUAAAAAGACGGCUUUUUUUAUCAGCAAAAAUAAUUUUAUUAAUAAUCUCAAAUGUAAUACAUUCAACAUAUUUGGACGGGACAAGAAUUGAAAAACAAAACACAUCCCAACAUAAAACGUAAAAUGACAGUACUUGCAUGUCUCACAGAAUUGAAAAGCAAAAAAUAACUAUGCCUCAAAUUAAAUCAGUAUAAUUGAAAGGCAAGGCUAGGGGGUGAGAUUUUAACUCACUUUUAGAGCAUUCUUUGUGCUUCCAGCUAUCCUUACGAUUAUUUAUUUAUUUAUGUUUAAUCAAUGAGUUGCCUCAGUUCGGCCACAUCCAUCGGGUAUUCGAGUGUGAAGUUAAAAUUUUAAUAUACAAAGAAAAAUAAUAAUAAAUUCUCCUUUAAGUGUGUCCCUAAAUAGCUUGGCCACGCUAUUAAAUAAUUGUUAAAAUUUGAGCUAAAAUUAAAGUUUACUAAAUUCACAUAUCAAUGUGUUCUACUCCAUAAGUAAAUUAAAUUAAGUAUUUAAAAGUUCAAAUUCAUGGAGUAAUGAAUAAGAUAUUAACUACAAAAGAUCACCCUUGAAAAUGAUAAUAAAUCAUUGUGGGAAGCUAAUCAAGUCCUACAUCAGUUAAAAACUACUCCCUCCGCUCCAUGAUAAAAGUCCUUAUUACUAUUUUGGAUAGUCUCAUGUUAAAUGUUCAUUUUCCUUUAAUAACUAAAUUAACUUUUACACAUAUUUUCCUAGUAUACCCGUAGCAUUAAAUAUCUCAUACUUUUCUUAUUCUAAUUCUCUUUCCAUAUUUAAUGACAUUAUUAUGGGUAAUUUUGUCAUUUUAUUCAUCUUCUUAAUAUGCGUGAAAAAAAAAGUCCACCAGGACUUUUAUCCUGGGACGGAGGGAGUAAAAUUUUAAUGUGUUUAUAUACAAGAAAGUUGCUUUUGAAUUUGAGCCACAAAGGACACUCCACUUUUGUGGAGGGGAGAGUACCUUGCCAAGGCUUGGUUUAAACUCGCAUACAUUUUGAUAAAUGUUACUCCCUCCGUUCCUAAAAGAUUAUCGUUUUAGAAGAAAAAAUUUGUUCCAAAAAGUUUGUCGUCUACAACUUUCGAGGAGAAUAAAUUAUUUAUUUUCCUAUAUUACCCCUACCUUCUCUCAUUGUCCCAAGAAAUUCUCUUUCUUGUCUUAAUAGUUUUUAAUUUCCCAUAGAGGGAUAGUGAUGAAAUUUCAAACAAAUUUUACUUGGUAAAUGAUACUUUCUUAAUUCAUGUGCCAAAACCUUAAACGACAAUCUUUUAGGAACGGAGGUAGUAUUUAUUAUCAAAACUGUGUCGUUAUUACGUCGUUUCUUGUUCAGAACAGACACACCCUUUAUGCUAAGGCUUUUGACUAAACAAUAUCCUUUCAAAGGAUUGUGCCCUUCUGAUUAGUCACUAACCUCUAUUAUCUAUUUAUAAAUAGAUAAGGGGACAUUCAUUUCAUUCAUUCAAUUCGAAGCAAUUCAUAGUUCAUUAAAACUAGUAUUCAUUUCAUAAUUUUAGAGAGAGUUCUGAGCAUUAUUUUUGGUUCGUUGAGUAUACUAUUUGUACGUAGUGCUGCUAUAGUAUACGUUGUCAUUUUAUAUUGGGAGACAAAUGCUAUCAACUCUAAGUACCAUAAAGAGGGCAAAAUUAUCUUAAGGAUAUAAUUAAUAUCAAGUACUAACUUUAACAAAUUCACUUAUGUAAUUUUGAGAUAAGUUAAUAUAUAUAUAUAUAUAUAUAUAUAUAUAUAUAUAUAUAUAUAUAGUAUCCAUUCUUUUUUACUAACACUAAUGCACAUACAGAGUGUAAUAACGUCCACAAACCUAGGGUUUUGAAGAACCAUUAUGACCCGGACCUUACGAAGUAAAUAUUUAUCUUUAAAAAGAAGAAUUAAGAAAACACUGCAAAAUUGAAUUUCAUUUACAAAUUAAAGAGAACGUAAUAAAAAGAAGAGAUUAAAGGAAAAGUGAUAGAGCCAAAAAUGGUGUCCUGUUGUCUCUUCUUUGGGGUUUCCUUUCACACCUUGCUUGAUGCCUGCUUCUUCCUUUUUCUGGUUCUGAGCCAAGCAAGAAGAACUAAGUGACAACUUCAUAAUCUCUAAGUUUGUAAACACAACCCUUCCCACCACCAGUAUGUGACAUUCAGAAAUCAAAACAAACUCUAUGUGGCAUUAUUUCAAACACUUAAAAUGCAUCAAUUUCAGCCAAAGUAACAAUUAUUACUCCAAAAAUUGAUAAAAUGUUUGCAUCAAAUUCAGGAUAAGGAAACUAUAGGCUAAGGAGAGGGAAGUGUGAAAUUGAGAACUAAAUCUACAACACCAGAAUGAAGUCCUAGGUCCUCACCAUCCUUAACCAAAACACAAAGUCAGAAAAAUGGACUACCUUCAAACUGAAUCUAAGGAAGGCAAGUCAACAAAUUUAUACAAACAUAAGCACGUAAAUACAUCUACAUAGGUUCAUAUAGCAGAAAGUAGAAAGUGAUCAAAUGAAUUUGGGUACCUUGACACUGAAUCAGGGAAAGCCAAAUCAAGACCACCACCAGUUGGUUUCUAAUGCAAUUACAAAGGCACUUACUGCGUCUGUUGCUGUAAUUGUUUCAUGUAUCCCAUUGACACCCCUCCCUGCUCUGAUCUCUCAUCAUCUGAGAAAAUCCAAUUCGAAUAAUCCCCAAUUCCCGGCGCAGAACUCAGCGGACACCCGACGUCGUUGCCAAAAUAGUAGUUAAGUAGGUUGAGAUAAGGAGAAGGGGAGGGAUUUAUCGCUUGAGCGGGAAAUUAAAAGGAGCGAGAGAAGGGCAACAGAUAUAUGGAAGUGGAAUAGGGGUGGGGAAUCUAGGUUUCUGAUCCGCGGAGAAAGAGAAGGUACUGAAGAGGAAGAGGAGAAUAGGAGAAGACACCGACGGUUUUGUAGAUUGAAUGAUGGUCUCAAUUCCAAACUCGCCUAAGUUUUUCAAUUGGCCGACUCUUAAUUAA
rnacentral:lncRNA from 1 species